rnacentral:lncRNA from 1 species
UCUGACUUCACCCAAACAGUAAGUUCCUUGAAAACACAAAGCCUGUGUUCUCUAUUACUCGCUCACCUUUUCCCAAUGCUCCGUACACCGCAUAUACUAACACUGACAAAUGGACACACCUAAAUUCUGUAGAAGUCGUGGAAGGUUUCAGGGACACUUGGGUCCUACAAAUUAGUGUUAGAAGUUACUCCUUCCUGUUCUAUGCCUCCUUUCGAACUUUCCUCUAUUUCCCCCUUCCGAACAAACAAAAGAAGCCCUGAACACCAAUGGAUUUGGAUUUCGAGUAUCACGGGCUACCAAACACCGGGGAUGAGAGGAGAGCUGAUUCCCUAUGAAAGGGAGCCCCCCAACAGAAGCCCAACCGGCCGAACCGGCGCCCAUGAAACCCGCCGGGCACUAGCGCCGAGGUGCGACGUCUGCAGCGCGAGGGUCCAAGCCACACCACUACGAGGUUCUCGAACAGCAAACACCCCGGGCCCAGAAGAGCCAUUCCAGAUGACAAAAGAAAAGGAGGUGAAGGGGAACAAGGUGGCCCCGGCCCCUACUGUUGUGAAGAAGCAGGAGGCCAAGAAGGUGGUCAAUCCCCUGUUUGAGAAAAGGCCCAAGAAUUUUGGCAUCAGACAGGACAUCCAGUCCAAAAGGACCUCACCCGCCUUGUCAGAUGGCCUCGCUACAUCCGGCUGCCACGGCAGAGGGCUAUUCUCUAUACAUGUCUACAAGCGCCUCCUGCAAUUAACCAGUUCACCCAGGCCUUAGACCUGCAGCUACUCAACUGCUUACACUGGCCCACAAAUGCGGACCAGAGACAAAACAAGGGAAGAAGCAGAGAUUGUUAGCCGGGGCUGAGAAGAAAGCUGUCAGCAAAGGGAAUGUCCCCACUAAAAGGCUGCUGUCCUUUGAGCUGGGGUUAACACUGUCACCACCUUGGUGGAAAACAAGAAGUCUCAGCUGGUAAUGGUUGCAUAUGAUGUGGAUCCCACGGAGCUUGUUGUCUUCCUGCCCACCCUGUGUCGUCGGAUGGGGGUUCCCUACUAGCAUUAUCAAGGGGAAGGCCAGGCUGGGGCAUCUGGUCCACAGGAAGACCUGCACCACUGCUGCCUUCACAGGUUAACUCAGAAGACAAAGGAGCUCUGGCUAAGCUGGUGGAAGCCAUCAGGACCAAUGACAAUGACAGGAUGAGAUCCGCUGACACUGGCGAGGCACUGUCCAGGGUGCAAAGUUGGUGGCUUGCAUUGCCAAGUUAGAAAAGGCAAAGGUUAAAGAACUGGCCACAAAAUUGGGCUAAGGUGGAUGCUUAGUGAAUUUUCUGUACAUAAAAGUAACAAAAAGUUCUCUUCCAGUGAGUGUCAAAAAAAAAAAAUAAUAAUCCUCACAAGAAUUCUCUGAAAUAGGUACCACUGAUAUCUCUAUUUUACAGGUGGGGAAACCAAGGUAUAAAGAGGAAACCUAGGGGCACCUGGGUGGCUCAGUUGGGUAAGCAUCCAACUCUUGAUCUCAGCUCAGGUCUUGAUCUCAGGGUCAUGAGUUCAAGCCCUGAGUUGGGCUCCGCACUAGGCCAGAGCCUACUUAAAACAAAACAAAAACAAAAACACAAAGAGGAAAACUAUUCUAUCACAGAUGUCAGGGCUAGAGAGUAGCUAAGCCAGGACUCGAGCUCACAGAUUUUAAAACUUUGCAUGUCUGGGAGAAUAUAUGUCAAACUGUAUUUUUAAUUUUUGGUAUAAAAACAUAUUGUAGGGUGCCUGGAUGGCUCAGUUGGUUAAGCAUUUGCCUUUGGCUCAGGUCAUGAUCCUGGAGUCCUGAGAUCGAGUCCCACAUCCUGCUCCCUGAUCAGUGGGAAGUCAGUUUCUUCCUCUACCACUCCCCUCUGCUAGUGAUCUCUCUCUCAUGCUCUCUCUCUAAUAAACACAUUAAAAAAUAUAUUGUAAAAAAGACA